rnacentral:lncRNA from 12 species
AUUUACAGCUACUCCUGGGUAAAGCACACUAUUUAUACAGGAUCACCAAAUAAAUAAAUACAAAGUGAAUUUUUUUGAUAUCUGAUGGAACAUAAAACAGUGCAGGUAGAUACAUGAGAGGACUGGCAGAAGAGCACUGAAACACCAGUGAAGGACUUGAUUUGGACCCAUCAGAUAAAGUCUCCCAGAGUGUCAUCAAUCAACAUCGC